rnacentral:lncRNA from 1 species
UAGAUUAUUAAUUUUGAAAGUAUCAAUGGUAUUGUUUCUCGAGAUGAAAAUAUGAAUAUUUUAAGUGAUGACCUUUGACCUUGAUUUUCGGCAUAAUGGUACCAGCUUUCAUAUUGACGACACAUAUUUUCAAAAAGUACACGAUUUCAGCUUUCCAAUGAGCUAUUAAAAAUCCAUGAGGUAUUUAGGUAAUUUAAAUUUCUGAAAUUGUCCUAUCCGCCGCUCCACUAUU